rnacentral:rRNA from 1 species
AUAUCAAUAAGCGGAGGAAAAGGAAACUAACGAAGGAUUCCCCUAGUAACUGCGAGUGAAGCGGGAAAAGCUCAAAUUUAAAAUCUGGUGGUCCUUCGCAUCGUCCGAGUUGUAAUUUAGAGAAGCGUUUUCCGCGCCUGGAACCGUGCACAAGUCUCCUGGAAUGGAGCGUCAUAGAGGGUGAGAAUCCCGUCUUUGGCAUCGGAAUACACCAGGGCUUCUUGUGAUGCGCUCUCGAAGAGUCGAGUUGUUUGGGAAUGCAGCUCAAAAUGGGUGGUGAACUCCAUCUAAAGCUAAAUAUUGGCGAGAGACCGAUAGCGAACAAGUACCGUGAGGGAAAGAUGAAAAGCACUUUGGAAAGAGAGUGAAACAGUAC